rnacentral:rRNA from 1 species
AACGUAGGAGGCAAGCGUUAUCCGAAUUUACUGGGCGUAAAGCGUGUGCAGGCGGCUUGAUAAGUUGGGUGUGAAAUCUCCCGGCUCAACUGGGAGAGGUCGCUCAAGACUGUCAGGCUGGAGGGCAGUAGAGGGUGGUGGAAUUCCCGGUGUAGUGGUGAAAUGCGUAGAUAUCGGGAGGAACACCUGUGGCGAAAGCGGCCACCUGGACUGUACCUGACGCUGAGACACGAAAGCUAGGGGAGCGAACGG